rnacentral:rRNA from 1 species
AUUGAACGCUGGCGACAGGCCUAACACAUGCAAGUCGAGCGAGCGGCGGACGGGGGAGUAAUGUCUGGGAGACUGCCUGAUGGAGGGGGAUAACUACUGGAAACGAUAGCUAAUUCCUCAUGUCAGCAGAUGUGCACAGGUGGGAUUAGCUAGUAGGUGGGGUAACGGAUAACCUAGGCGACGAUCCCUAGCUGGUCUGAGAGGAUGAACGGCCACACUGGAACUGAGACACGGUCCAGACUCCUACGGGAGGCAGCAGUGGGGAAUAUUGCACAAUGGGCGCAAGCCUGAUGCAGCCAUGCCGCGUGUGUGAAGAAGGCCUUCGGGUUGUAAAGCACUUUCAGCGGGGAGGCGUUACCCGCAGAAGAAGCACCGGCUAACUCCGUGCCAGCAGCCGCGGUAAUUC